UACGUAGGGUGCGAGCGUUAAUCGGAAUUACUGGGCGUAAAGCGUGCGCAGGCGGUUCGUUAUGUCCGAUGUGAAAGCCCCGAGCUUAACUUGGGAAUGGCAUUGGAAACUGGCGGGCUGGAGUGCGGCAGAGGGGGGUGGAAUUCCAUGUGUAGCAGUGAAAUGCGUAGAGAUGUGGAGGAACACCGAUGGCGAAGGCAGCCCCCUGGGCCGACACUGACGCUCAGGCACGAAAGCGUGGGGAGCAAACAGG
rnacentral:rRNA from 1 species